rnacentral:rRNA from 1 species
AGUGAACGCUGGCGGUAGGCCUAACACAUGCAAGUCGAACGGCAGCACAGUAAGAGCUUGCUCUUACGGGUGGCGAGUGGCGGACGGGUGAGGAAUACAUCGGAAUCUACUUUUUCGUGGGGGAUAACGUAGGGAAACUUACGCUAAUACCGCAUACGACCUACGGGUGAAAGCAGGGGAUCUUUGGACCUUGCGCGAUUGAAUGAGCCGAUGUCGGACUAGCUAGUUGGCGGGGUAAAGGCCCACCAAGUCGACGAUCCGUAGCUGGUCUGAGAGGAUGAUCAGCCACACUGGAACUGAGACACGGUCCAGACUCCUACGGGAGGCAGCAGUGGGGAAUAUUGGACAAUGGUCGCAAGCCUGAUCCAGCCAUACCGCGUGGGUGAAGAAGGCCUUCGGGUUGUAAAGCCCUUUUGUUGGGAAAGAAAAGCAGCAGGUUAAUACCCCGCUGUUCUGACGGUACCCAAAGAAUAAGCACCGGCUAACUUCGUG